CUGCCUUCCUCACAUAAUGUUUGUGCUGUUGAUCCAAAAGAAUCAACGGCACAAACAUUAUGUGAGGAAGGCAGAA